GAGAGGAUAUUGAGAGGAGAACUGGUGAACUCGUUCACAAAGCAGGAGGCCGGCGUGGUGGCAGCGCUUCGGGAAGUUACGGAACAGGAAGCACACAAACCUAAUUUACAAACUCACGAGGAGGUAGCCAGAUCAAUUGCGAAGAGUGCAACUCGAGAGAUUGCUUGCGACGAUGCUCGCCUAAUCCCUUGUUCAACUAACAAUUCAAGAUGAC
rnacentral:lncRNA from 1 species